GUCCAGGGUAGCCUAGUGGACAUGGCAUCUGCCCGGUAAGCGGAACACUGCUGGUUCGAUUCCCAUCCCUGGACA